GACGAACGCUGGCGGCGUGCUUAACACAUGCAAGUCGAGCGGUAAGGCCCUUUCGGGGGUACGACGAGCGGCGAACGGGUGAGUAACACGUGGGUGACCUGCCCUCAGCUCUGGGAUAAGCCUGGGAAACCGGGUCUAAUACUGGAUAUGACUCCAUGACGCAUGUUGUGGGGUGGAAAGCCUUGUGCGGCUGAGGAUGGGCCCGCGGCCUAUCAGCUUGUUGGUGGGGUGAUGGCCUACCAAGGCGACGACGGGUAGCCGGCCUGAGAGGGCGACCGGCCACACUGGGACUGAGACACGGCCCAGACUCCUACGGGAGGCAGCAGUGGGGAAUCUUGCGCAAUGGGCGAAAGCCUGACGCAGCGACGCCGCGUGGGGAUGAAGGUCUUCGGAUUGUAAA
rnacentral:rRNA from 1 species